GAAUAUUGGACAAUGGGGGGAACCCUGAUCCAGCCAUGCCGCGUGUGUGAAGAAGGCCUUUUGGUUGUAAAGCACUUUAAGCGUGGAGGAGGCUACUUAGAUUCAUACCCUAGGAUAGUGGACGUUACUUGCAGAAUAAGCACCGGCUACCUCUGUGCCAGCCGCCGCGGUAAGACAGAGGGUGCAAGGGGUAAUCGGAUUUACUGGGCGUAAAGCGCGCGUAGGUGGCCAAUUAAGUCAAAUGUGAAAUCCCCGAGCUUAACUUGGGAAUUGCAUUCGAUACUGGUUGGCUAGAGUAUGGGAGAGGAUGGUAGAAUUCCAGGUGUAGCGGUGAAAUGCGUAGAGAUCUGGAGGAAUACCGAUGGCGAAGGCAGCCAUCUGGCCUAAUACUGACACUGAGGUGCGAAAGCAUGGGGAGCAAACAG
rnacentral:rRNA from 1 species